rnacentral:rRNA from 1 species
CAAAGAUUAAGCCAUGCAUGUGACUAGUCAGGAUC